UCCUUUGCGCCUCUCGGCCGGGGGAGAAGCGCCCUGCCCGCGCCUUGCAGCGCUUGGUCCUGUGCCUCGUUACGCAGCGCCGGCAGCCGCGCUUGGAGCUGGGCUGGCUUCGUUACAUGGUUCGGGUGCGCGCUGUGGUGAUGACCCGAGACGACUCCAGCGGCGGUUGGGUACCCAUGGGUGGUGGCGGCCUAAGCCAUGUGACCCUCUGUAAAGUCCCGCACCCUGACGAAGGGCAGCGCUGCCAGUACCUGAUCAACGGGGAGCGCCUCCGGGACCAGACGACCAUCUUGGAGUGUACCUUGAAAAGGGACCUGGUCUACAACAAGGUGAACCCCAUUUUCCACCACUGGAAAGUGGGGGACAACAAAUUUGGCCUCACUUUUCAGAGCCCUGCAGACGCGGUGACUUUUGAGAAGGGCGUGCAAGCCGCUCUGAAGGAGAUCACGGAAGGUUCUUUUUCACCUUGCUCCAGUGCCACCGGCUCCUCUUCCUCCUCCGAGGAUGAAGCAGCUGGUCGGGACGAAGCCCUUACUGUGCGCACGGACAGCGAGUCUUCCUCAAACAGCCAGAAGGAGAUGCUCCCCAAACCCAUCACCAUUGUGACCAGCGAGUCCUCCUCCACCUGCUUCAUUCGCACCCCAAUUUCUGAAGAGUUCCCCUUCAGUUCAACACAAGGGGCAACCUCAGGUGGACCAGUGCAAGCCGAGCCCUUGCAGCAGCUGACUCUCCCAGAGGAGCAGGAGCUGGAGAGCAUCACCCCUUGUCCCUGGGUCACCAAAGGCUACGAGGACUACCGGCGGGCUGUGGUUCAGAAGCACCAGCCAGACCCGGACAAGAUCGACCUGUGCGUACACUUUCAGAAGGGCGGAAGGGGCAGCCAAUCCCCCAGGGAGAAGGAGUACAGCUUCCCCCCUGGAGCCGAAGGGCAGCUGAAGGACCCCAAGACCUCACCCUCCUGCCGGAUCCACGGGGCCUCCUCUCCCAUGAAACAUAAGCCGCUGAAGGAGCAGCAGCAGUCACCGCAACCGCCCCCUGGAGUGAUCAUGGGCAUGGAAGAGGACACGGUGCCCUCGCGGUGCGUCUACUGCCGGGACGUCUUUAACAAUGAGGAGAACGGGCGGGGACAGUGCCAAGAUGCGCCGGACCCCAUCGGCCACUGCGUCUACCAGUUCACUUGUAUGUGGUGCGCCGAGAGCAUGCUGUACCACUGCAUGUCGGACUCGGAAGGGGAAUACUCGGACCCUUGUUCUUGCGACACCAGCCACCCGUACUUCUGCAUCCGCUGGCUGGCUCUGGCCACCCUCUCCUUGGUGGUCCCGUGCAUGUGCUGCUACCUACCCCUCCACGCCUGCUACUCCUGCGGUGAGCGCUGUGGUUGCUGCGGUGGCAAGCACAAAGCCGUCCGGUGAAACUGAGCGAUUCCUCGGCGCCCCGUUUGGUUUUUUCUGCCACCCAGGCCGCAGCGGGCGUAAGCCAGGCGGCUUUCCUCCAAGAUGGAGGCUUGCUGGGGUUCCAGUCCUUCCCCCAGCCAGCCAGCUCUCCCCCUCCCACACUUCCUUUCAUCCCUUUGGGGAAAAGGACCCCUGGUGAGGAUGGUUGGUGGCCCUCCUGGGACGAUUUUCUGUUCCAAAAUUGGGACUUUCUUUAUUGCCGGAAAGGAAAAGCACGACGCGCAGGUGACUCUGCAGUCAGAUGUUGUUCUGGGUACGCACCAGGCAUGUAUUUUUCCCCCCUCCCUGCGAUGUUCUCUCUAGGGGUCGUUUUUGGGGGGAGGGUUUAUUUUAAGGAAGGGGAGGAUGAACUCGGGAAAACAAAUAAGAGGACUGUGCCGUAACUUCGUCCAAAGUUUACUAUGAACUCCAAAAGCAUCCCACGUGUUACCAAUGUUAGUCUCUUUCAUGAGCUCCGCCCGUCCUUACUACAUAUGUUUGGAUGAGUCCAAGGCAGGCUUGGACAACCUCCACCGAGAAGGACCUCACCGGCCAGCCGUGUAUUUUGGCAAAUUCAAUCAGACAGGUAAAACAUUCCUUGCCUCCCCCUUUUCCUUUGCCACUCCCAAUGUCUUCUUAAGAUUGAGACGUGAUAGCGUUGCUCGCGGGACCCAGGCUGAGUGGCUCACCAGGGUGAGGAGAAGAUGGCUAUUUGGGGGGGGAUCGCGUUCUGUUCUCCUUUCCCCUUCCCGGCCCAUCGUCGUCCAUAGGUAGUCCUCGACUUAACGACCACAGUUGAGCCCAAAAUUUCUGUUGCUGAGUGAGGCCUUUGUUAAGUGGGUCUUGCCCUUUUUUUAAUGGCCUUUCUUAAAACUUAACAGUUGUUAAAUUAACAAGGUUGUGAAAUGCAUCUUUGCUUGCAAUAGUCGCUGGGACGCUGCAAUAGUCGUAAAUAGGAGUCAGUUGCCGAGCGUCUGAAUUUUGAUCACAGGACCACAGGGACACUGCAACGGUCGUAAAUGUGAAAAACGGUCCUAAGUCGCUUUUUUUUUUCCAGUGCCGUUGUAGCGUUGAAUGGUCAUUACAUGAACUGCUGUUAAGUCGAGGACGACCUGUAUAUUUUUUUUUGCCUGAUGUUUAAUGACGUGAACAAGAAGCGCUUGCUGGUAGGGUGGAGGGUCCGGAAGACGGGAGUGGUGGGUUUGUUUCCUUGCCGUUAAGUGAGCGGUUCUGAGCCCUCCCAGCCCCUCCCCCUUCUCCUCUUUCACCAUUCCAGCUAGACCCGAAUAUGAAUAGAAGACAGCUGGAAGGGACCUUGGAGGUCUUCUAGUCCAGCCCCCUGCUCAAACAGGAGAACCUAUCACGUGAACAGGAGGAUGCUGCUACAGUCGGAAAUGUAAAAAACGGUUCACGGUCACUUUUUUCAGUGCCGUCGUAACUUUGGUCUGUUGUAAACUGAGGACUACCUGUCAAGGUAGUAAAUCUACAGCUACAAAGGGCACCCGAAUUUCUGUGGCUGAGCAAGGCGGUUGCUCAGCGAGUUGCAUCUGAUUUUUAUGACCUAAGUGAAUCCGCAGGGUUGUUAAGGGAACGGUGCCGUCGUUAAACAAAUCCACCCCCCCCAUGACUUUGCUUGUCAGGAAUUGGCUAGGAAAGUUGCGAAACGGCGAUUGUCAUAAAUACAGGGAGUCCUCGACGUAUGAUCACAAUUGAGCCCAAAAUUUCCGUUGUUAAGUGAGACAUUUGUUAAACGAGUUUGACCACCUACCUCACCACAGUAGCUAAGUGGAUCAGUGCAGUUGUUAAAUCAGUAACUCAGUCAUUAAGUGAGCCUGGUUUCCCCGUUCACUUGGCUUAUCAGAAGGGGAUCACGUGACGUUGGGACCCUGCAGCGGUCAUAAGUAUGAAUCCCUGGCUGAGCCUCUGAAUUUUGAGCACCUGCUACAAAGGUUGUAACUGUGAAAAACGGCCCUAACUUUUUUCAAUGCCGUUGUAACUUUGAACGAUCACUAAACUAUUGUAAGUGGAGGACUAUCUGUACGGGCUGGUUAGCCCACUGCUCAAAGGUUGACCAUUUGACCGUCGGGAUGCUGAACGGUUGUAAGUGCAAGGACUGGUUGUAAGUCAUCUUUUUCAGUGCCUUUGUCACUUUGAACGAAUGGUUUUGUAAGUCGAGGACUACCUGUAGAUAAGCUGGUUGAGCAAAGGGGUUGGACUAGAAGACCUCCAAGGUCCCUUUCUAUUCUCCUUCUCUGUUCGUCUUUUUUUCUCUCCCUGCUUUACCCGUUAGAACUGGGCACAAGCUUUUUCUGCACGUGUCUGGCUGGCAGACCCACGCACAACGUACAACGCCUGAUGCAAACGUACAACCUUCUUUAACCCGGUUAUAUUUCUGUUGAGAAACACUGUGUUAGAGGCUUCAAGGAAGACAUGGAAGUGGGUAAACUUUGGUUCAUAAAAGAUAUGUCAAGAUGGGGUUUGGCUUAGCUGGAAAGAUAAGAUCUGGUUUGCACACAAACAAAUCUUAGGUCUUCAGGUGGGCUGAGAAAUUUUUUCCCCCUGAAUCUUAAAAAAGACCUCUUCCUUGUUGGUCAACAAUAUUCAAGUCCAGCCACCAGUGCAAUGAGAGCACUUAAAAUACCACGAGUUCCAUUUUUCAGAAAUCCUCUAAUUUAGCGCCACUUAGGUUUACCGUUUCCCGUAUCUUCCCUGACUCAAAGCAAAAAGCAACAUUUUUCUUGAAUAACCCCAAGCUAAUCUAAACUGUAGGAAGUAUGUAUGCAAAAUAAUCUGAUAGGCAGACAGUAGGGUUUGCAUAAUUUAUUUAAAGCAGAUGUGUGGAUUUCCUCUAGCAAAAGGCCAGAUGGAAGAGAUGUUUUUUUUUUCCUUAAAUUAAAAAAAAAAAGAAUAAAAUAAAAUCACCCAGGCUGUGUUUUAAAAUCUGAGCAUAAGGAUCUUGAUGUUUUGUAGGUGAGUUUUUAGGCAUCUAGAGUAGUUAAAAUUGUAGGCUGGUUCAGAGCUAGCGGAGGAGUGUCCAGCCCUGGCAACUUUUAAGGCCUGUGAACUUCAACUCCCAGAAUUCUCCAGCCAACCAUGCAGGCUGGGGGAUUCUGGGAGUUGAAGCCCACAAGUCUUAAAAGUUUCCCAAGGUUGGACAUCCCUGAUGAUCUUGGCUCGUUCCUCAAUGCGGUCGUUUUUAAAGUCUGAUUGAAAACAUUUAAAUUGGUAGUUUUUAACCUAAAAUGUAAAAGGCCAGUUCUUAUUCUUAAAUGUUUUAAGUUUUCUGUCAGAACCCAAUGGAAGAGUUUUAACGAAAGAAAGGAUGUGUGAUGGGUUAAGGAACUGGGGUUGCCUGUGAAUACAAAGCAGAGAAGAGCACAUUAAAAGCACGAUUUCCUUUUAUUGUUUGCCCAUCCCAAGCAACAACAAUUGAGCCCAAAACGUCUAUUGCUAAGCAAGGCAGUCGUUAAAUGAGUUUUGCCCCAUUUUAUGACUUUCCUUGCUCUAAUUGUUAAGUGAAUCACUGCAUUUGUUAACUUAAUCACAUGUUUGUCUGACUUCCCCAUGGACUUUGCUUGUCAUAAGGCCGCAAAAGGUGAUCACAUGACUCUGGGACGCUGCAACUGUCAUAAGUACAUGUCAGUUGCCAAGCAUCUAAAUUUUGAUCAUGUGACCACGGGGAUGCUGCAGUGAUUUUAAGUAAAAAAAAAACAGUCAUAAGUUGUUUUUUUACAGUGCCAUUGUAACUGCAGACACUCAAUGAAUAUUUGUAAGUCAAGGACUAGCUGUAGACCGGCGUAGGGUGUCUCCAGAAUUUUAAAACUUGCAUUUGUGGGAUAUGUAAAGCUUAAAGGACUAUGAAAAGAACACAAAGAGGGGGAAAAAAAAAUCAAUGGAUUUUCUCAUUUCGGUCAAAAUUUAUUACGGGAUAGAUAACAUAUUCCAGUUUGAGGAAAGGAACAUCUUUGGGGUGACUAAGAUAGCGCCUACGUCCUGCCCCUUUAAUAUAUACAAUUCUACUUUUUUGUGAUUUUUCUGGUUCUUUACGCCCGAAAGCAAAGCCGGCUCAACGUGGGUUGCUUCUGAGAUUUUAUACGGCUUGUUUCAAAAGGCUCCUCCCGCAGACAGGGUUCGGUUUACAGGGUAUACACAAACACAAACGCACACCUUGUUAUCUUCCUGUUUGUUAUGUAGAUCAGUUGGAGAGCACGUGUGUUCCUUGCAAAAGCCUGGGCUAUGGAGGAAGAAUUUUUCUCCCGUGCUUUUCACAUGGCCUGACAAGGUUUUUCACUGCAGAAUUGAGCUGCAGAAA